AAACAAUUUACAGCACAGUUAAUUACCCUUUUAGAGAGCAAGGAAGAAAUAAAUAGGGAAAAUGGUAUAUUUGGUCCCUAUACACUCCAGCCCUCUGUGUCUAUUUUUGGUUCCUCAGCUAUAAGUGAAGUAGUGAUUUUGGUUAUUUUCCGUUAGAUUUGGACGAAAAAUCAAUAAAUAAAUGUCGGGAUCAAACAUGAAACUUUAAUUUCAUCUUCUUCUCCUUGUAUGAGACAGAAUGUGUUGUAAUGAUUUUAUUUGACAAAUUUCGAGUUUCAACUUGGUGGUAAAUAAUAGUAAGAGUCUUAUAUAGGAGCUCUAAAUUUGUCAAAUAAGCUCAUUCGAACACUCGAAAUGUCAGUCACAUAUAAGAAAAAGAAAAGAUAUGAAAUCAAGUUUUUAUGUUUACUCAUCCAAAUUUCUGUCCAAAUCUAAUUGGAUAUUAACGAAAAAGACCAAAACCGUUAGCCAAGGACAAAAAUACACACCACAAUAACCGAGGGACUUAAUAUAUAUCUAGGGUAUAACUUACAGACCAAAUAUGUUAUUUUUACAAAUAAAUAAUCACAAUAUUGAAGACUAGAUGAACCUGAAAUGAAAUGGCUAGCCUCUGAGAAGUCAUGGUGGAAGCAUGUGUCACAGUAUACAGUGCCAACAAGUACAGCUGCAGUUUGAAGCACACAAUAGCCUAAGAUGGAUUGCCCUUCCUCUUAUAAGGUGAGCUACUAUGUGUAUUUAUUUCAGUCAUGCAGAGACAAGUGAAUUUACAGGCCAGCAGACAUUAAUUUCAUCACUACUAACAUAACAAAAAGAAGGUUGGGGGUGAUAGAAAGGUAAUAAAGUAGGAAUGUGUUGUGGAUUGUGGCUUCUCUGGAUGUUUCUUUUCUUUAUUUAUUCUUCUUUAGCGUAUGACAUCUGAUUUCAUUUUCUCAC